GGAACACAGGAGGCCUUUGAUAGUGAUGAAGUGAUUGUACCACCUUGCACCUGGAGGCCAUGCAUCUGCAAGAGCGCCAAAGUGAUGCUCAAAUGGCCCAUGUGACAGUCUCAAUUCCGCACAGACCAUUUCAGGACACCCAGGGACCUGGUGGGCCAAGGGAUUGGCUUCCCCUACAGAGCAAGAGUAAUACAGAUUGAAUGGUGGCAUCCAGUUGCCUCAACCUUCAAGGAACUAACUUAAGUUAGCCCAUAGUCAUCAAUCCCAUUCCAUAAAGAAAGAACCACAGGAAGUGGGAGGCUUAGGGGAGCAGCAAUCGGAAGAGCUGGAGAGCAGAACUGAAAUGAACUGAAGACGAGUGAGUACCAAAUAGAACCAUUCGGCCAUGAGCAUCAUUAUAAUCAUAAUUGCUUUGCAGUGAACGUUUUUUCCAUCAAAGUUGCCUUUGAAGGUAUAUAAUUUGCAACCAAAGUUCAGACCAUGCUUAGAGUUAUACAGUUGCUAUGAAUCAAUUAAAGCAGCAGAGAUGAAAAGUGGAAAGAAAAAAACAGAAAAUUCUCCAUGUCCUACAAGAUGUGUCAAGUUAAAUGGGCAAAUCUUAAAGCAAGAGAGAUGCAGAAAAAGAGAGGCACUUGAAGUUUGUCCAUUGCCUACCAAAAGACUAAGUUCUGCAUGUGUCUUCUUCCAGUAAAACAUAGUAUAAUAUCAAUGAAUUUGUGUUCCAGUUUAUGUUCUAGGAUUAAUGCCACCUCAAGGAUUCGACUAGUUCUAAGUAAACUGAUUGGGGUUAAACAAAUACUCAGUUCUAAUUAAUGAUUCUUAAGGUUUUAUGUGUGGCAGAGAUGCGGCCCAGCCCAAGAUAAUCCACAGGAUCAGAGUGGCUUCUAGUAAAAGGCAAUAUUGUCAUUACUAUGCAGUUUUCUCCAGCAAGUAAUGAAUUGCUUAGAUCCAGUAAGACACACGCAGCAUGGGGAAGGAGCAUUGGCUUGGAGGCAGAGAAUUCGUGUGUGUUAUGUGUCUUUGGACAAUAGUUAAGGCAUCAGUUCCCUCUUCUGUAAAAUGAGCAUAAUAAUACUUGCAGGGUUAUUGUGAAG
rnacentral:lncRNA from 1 species